UCCGGUCUCCCGUUGCGCCGCCGGCCGGGGCCCCCGAAUCUCCGGCCUACCUGCACGCGGCCAUGAAGCACGACCUGGUGGUUGAUUUCCGUAAUCCUUGAUGGACAUAGAUAAGGAUUGCGCCUCCUGGUUCCUCGCUGCUGGAAGUGUGCUAGCUCUGUAUUUUGCGAUUAUUACCUGGUAGCAGUAGUGCAGGUUGAUUACUUGAUUAGGAUAAAUGGUUGCAUCGCGUUGAGCUGGGGAAUACUCUGGCUGCAGGUCCUCUACUCUGAACUGAUGUUACUGCAGCUGCAGCUCCAAACGGUGAAACAAAAGCAGGAAGUAAUCCUCUUUUAGCUUGAAUGAAGCAGCUGCUGAAUUUCCAUGCGCAAGCGGAGUUCUGCACCUCAAUAUUUCUCGAAACAUGGAAUUCUGCAGCCCCAGCUGCCUGCCACCUUGACAUAUCCGCUCGCGCCGCCUAUGUCCCUGCGCGCUGUAGGCUGCCGCUGUGCCGGUCUUGGUGUUAUAUCGGAAUUUUCUGCGCUAGUCAGUACGUACAAGUUCAGAAGUAAGUUCAACUGCACGGUGGCAGGAAGUGCAAGUACGUGUUUUCAGUUUUGGAAAGGACACAGAUUCAUCAAAUCCCCUAAUUUUUUCUCUUUUUGUUAUUUACUACAGUUGUGCACUUGUGUAUAGAAGCAGUCCACUUGUACAUGUCGCAUUGAUGCCCUCGUCGGCACUCCUACUUCUCCUGAUGUGUUGGUGGCCUGGCUCACAGCACUCUGAAUCACAUUUCUCUUUUGAUGAUUCUGUUUUUGGGCAGUACAGAUACGGUGAGAAAAAUGUGCAGAUAUACCUAAUAAAUAAGUACAAGCAUACGAAGUGCAGACGCAUCACCAUGUAUGUAAAAUAUGUGCAGACGUACUACUUUAGUUUGUUUGGUUUGGACAGUACAUGUAUUAUCGUCGUGAAAGUUCAACCCUCUUGCUCUUCAUAUGAAGUUCUGUUGGUACCUGCAAUAUACGUACUUAUUUUUUGGGCAGUACAAUCCCGAACUGAUGACAGGACACACAGCCACACUGGAAAGUUCAGGUCAUUUUUUGUCGGUGACUAGAGGUUCUUGUUCUUUAAUUGCUGCAGCUUCUUACUAGUGUGUGUUUCUGAAUGUGGGUACAGAGUGGAGCAAUGGGUCUGAAAAUGCAUUCACGGGUAAAAUGCUGUGUGACCCAGAUCGCCUUACAUGUCCGGCAAUCUCAUGGUUUGUUUGUCCUCGCCUGAGGUCACCAGCUCAUCUGAGAUGGGGCCAUCCCUAAAUGAUAGCGUUUGUGGUUGUGAGCAUGUAUUCGGGUGGUUUGGUUUAUUUUUAUUGCAGUCGGUCUGAAGCUAAAAUAACAGUGUGAACAGACUGCUCUAUUAUAUGGAUACUGCCUUGAUGGUAAAAUACCAGUGGUACGUGCUUCAUUCGUACCUGUGAAAAAUCAUACUGCUCCCAGAUCAGGAGUGCGUCUUGACUGUACGUGAGAACGCGAAGUUGCAGGGCUUCCCUGAUUACUACCACAUUUACGUCCCAUCAAAGGGAAGUAUAUCCAAGCUGACAAUGUCGUCGCACUGCCCGUUAUGCACGCGUUGGGCUACCCUCUGGGUCGGAUGUACUAGGGAGAGUCGGAGGGGCGUGGUCCGCUCUUUGUGCUGAACGAUUUAGGCAGAGUGAGGUAGUCGUAGAAGCGUCAGGGUGGAAAGCUCGCAUACUCAAACACCGCCGCCGCGAACCAGCGCCAUGAGAGAUUAAAAGCCAACACCGGAAGCUCGCAUACUCUUAAACAUUCAUGUACAUAUUAUUUGUGUCAACAGU